GGAUUGUGGCUCAGCGGCAGAGCGCUUGCCUAGCACAUGUGAGGCACUGGGUUCGAUCCUCAGCACCA
rnacentral:tRNA from 1 species